AUUGAACGCUGGCGGAAUGCUUUACACAUGCAAGUCGAACGGUAGAGGGGGCAACCCCUCGAGAGUGGCGAACGGGUGAGUAAUAUAUCGGAACGUGCCCAGUCGUGGGGGAUAACGUAGCGAAAGUUACGCUAAUACCGCAUACGAUCUACGGAUGAAAGCGGGGGACUCGCAAGAGCCUCGCGCGAUUGGAGCGGCCGAUAUCAGAUUAGGUAGUUGGUGGGGUAAAGGCUCACCAAGCCAACGAUCUGUAGCUGGUCUGAGAGGACGACCAGCCACACUGGAACUGAGACACGGUCCAGACUCCUACGGGAGGCAGCAGUGGGGAAUAUUGCACAAUGGGGGAAACCCUGAUGCAGCCAUGCCGCGUGUGUGAAGAAGGCCUUCGGGUUGUAAGCACUUUCAGUGGGGAGGAAGGGGUGAUGCCUAAUACGCGAUCAUCAUUGACGUUACCCACCAGAAGAAGCACCGGCUAAC
rnacentral:rRNA from 1 species